rnacentral:lncRNA from 1 species
GGCCGCGGAGGGCGGUGGCCUGGCCCGGCCCGCGUGCGCAGCAGGCCCCGGCUGCCCCGAAACCGCCGCUUUUUGGCACCAAGGUGGAAGAGCAGCCAGAGAGGAAGCUUGGAGGGGCCUGAGCGCUGGCGGGCCUCGGUAAAGCCGUGUACAAAAUGCUUGUUAAAUGCUGACAGCCGGCAUGAUGUUGCACAAGACAUGAGAAACGACAGCAGGAAAAUUCCGAAGAAACAUAACUAAGGAUGUGUCCCCCUGGAAACCAGACAGCAGAUUCAGUGUCUUGGAUUCAUGAACGCAGUAUUCAUUGCAGGUGGGGGAAACAGCUAACUUAUAUCAAGGUAAGCUUUAUUUUCCUUUGUAAAACGCCCUGAUGU